GUGCACGCUGGCGGUAGGCCUAACACCUGCAAGUCGAACGGCAGCACAGUAAGAGCUUGCUCUUCCGGGUGGCGAGUGGCGGACGGGUGAGGAAUACAUCGGAAUCUACUUUUUCGUGGGGGAUAACGUAGGGAAACUUACGCUAAUAUCGCAUACGACCUACGGGUGAAAGCAGGGGAUCUUCGGACCUUGCGCGAUUGAAUGAGCCGAUGUCUGAUUAGCUAGUUGGCGGGGUAAAGGCCCACCAAGGCGACGAUCCGUAGCUGUUCUGAGAGGAUGAUCAGCCACACUGGAACUGAGACACGGUCCAGACUCCUACGGGAGGCAGCAGUGGGGAAUAUUGGACAAUGGGCGCAAGCCUGAUCCAGCCAGACCGCGUGGGUGAAGAAGGCCUUCGGGUUGUAAAGCCCUUUUGUUGGGAAAGAAAAGCAGCAGGUUAAUACCCCGCUGUUCUGACGGUACCCAAAGAAUAAGCACCGGCUAACUUCGUG
rnacentral:rRNA from 1 species